GUGAGUAUACGCGUGGCGAAGAGGUUGAUGCUGAAAAGUAUGACUUGUACGCCAAGAGAACCGCACAAAAAUUUAUAAAAUACGGCUGGUGCAAUUAAUCAUCCACUGUGCAUAAACUGAUUUUACCUGGAGGAGAAUAUAUCCAGAAAUCUCUACUGCCCAUCGGUAAACUCUCUGAAGAGGCUCUUGAACAACACAUCAAAUUUUCCCAAUGAAGAUGUUCUGAACAGCCUGUUAGUUAACACUCUGACCCACUUAUAUCAACGAUGAGAUGGGGAAACUACACAUCGGUAUCAUCGAUGAUGGCCCAUGUAAGUCGCAACAGUGAAUCGAUUCCCGUUGCGUAUUGUACUGGACCCGACCCAUCAAGGAAAUUUGCUCUUUACAGCUCUCCAGAUUAUUUGUAUAGGAAACUUAAAUUCUUAAGUAACGACUUUGAAGGCCCUUUUCCCGCCGUUUACGAAGUAAUUCCGAACACACGGCCCUGCAAACCGUAUCUCGACGUGGAGUGGGACAUACCGGCAGCCGGAGUUGCAGAAGCAUUGACGUUUGGGCGGAUACGACGGCUUUUUGAACAAGGAAUAACACAUGACCUCCUUGAGCAUUUUGACAAUGCUGCUCUGUCUGAAAUAAUCCCACCCUUGAGGGAUCGCCUGACGUUCAAGAAAUUCUUGGCUUCCGCAAAAAAGGAAGAGAUUUACUCUCUGGUACAUAUUUUUUGGCUGAUGCUUUCUGUUCAUUUUUACACAUCGCUGGCAAAAGUUGAAAGAUGGCUUCUGCUUUGUUUUUUCAAAAUAAUAUCACUGGAUACUGUAUUAAGCACACAAUACUCCGUGAUCAACAUAUUGAAAGUUCUUCUCAUCUUUCUCCGACUGGCCGAAAAAAUUCUGUAAAUACCUCAGACAUUAAAUUUUGUAUAUCCAUCCGGAAAUAAUAAAAUUGGUUUGUGAAUUUUGAAACUCCCUCAACAAGAUAAGUGUUUAUGCAGUAUCACUCUCGACACAGCAAUUCUGUUUAUAAAUACCUAGCUUAUUAAUUGAAAAAGUGUUGUUCCUCAUGUUGAAUUUUAUUUCUAAUACCUAGCGAGGUUCUACAUUUCCUCUAGGAAAAUGAGGAUAUAAAAGUAUGGCCAUACAAAAUCGUAGAGCGGACCGACAAAGUAUACAAACUCCUGAUAAAAGGCAGGGAAGUCAACAUCAACAUCAACAUCGACCGCCUCAAACCGGCCUACAUCCUACCCGAAGAACCAGUCUCUCUACAGCUCACACUGUGGGGAAUGGCUCCCGCCUUUGAUGCACCAGAAAUGCAUUCAGUCUUGUCGCGAUACCGCAAUGCAAAGCGUAGACUGAGGUAUUUCUGGUAGGGACGGAGGAAAGGCAGCGAGAGGUGAUUCAAGGGAAAACACAGAUUUUCCUUUUGACGAAAUGGACAGAUCACCCUAGAGAGGUGGUAAAAUUGGGACGAAGACGCAGGCGAAGCCACAGCUCCCUUCGUCACGAAUUUCAAACCUAUUUCAUACCAAAACCACUCCGGUCCCAGCUGCGGCCCCGCUCCCAACACCCAACGAAGCGGAGACCAAAGCUCCGGAAUACAAGACCCGAUCAGGGAGAGAGGUGCACUUCCGCUUCCCGGACUUGGUCAAACAUUGAAAAAAAAAGCACAAACCAAAUCAAUUAGGCAGCUUUCCCGCGGAAAAUAGUGCCCCGGCCUCACCUACAAGAAGGCCCUCCAUCCUGCCACAGUAAUCAGUCUUUCUCCCAUCAGCCAUGGCGACAGUCGAUAAAAUCUUUCACCUGACAGCCCGCUUCAUUCAGCAUAACUACAUUCAUGAAGCACCACCAUCUUUUUCCUGGCGGGGGAUCAGGGAGAGAGGUGCACUUCCGCUUCCCGGACUUGGUCAAACAUUGAAAAAAAAAGCACAAACCAAAUCAAUUAGGCAGCUUUCCCGCGGAAAAUAGUGCCCCGGCCUCACCUACAAAAAGGCCCUCCAUCCUGCCACAGUAAUCAGUCUUUCUCCCAUCAGCCAUGGCGACAGUCGAUAAAAUCUUUCACCUGACAGCCCGCUUCAUUCAGCAUAACUACAUUCAUGAAGCACCACCAUCUUUUUCCUGGCGGCUGCCACAUAACAAUUUUCUGGAACCAGAGACACGCCUCAGACCAAGCCAAAAAAACCACCUCCGGCACAAGGAAUCACACCAAACCUAGCAGCAAACGGGCUCAAACCACCAAAAACUUCGCGGCACAACACGGCAUGACUUGCGACCCGAAGAAAAUCAAGAUUUUCAAAUCCCAAGCAAAAAGACCGGCCCAGCGGUCACAUGGCCUCAGCCACAAUGCAGGCACCCAAACCGCCAAACCCAUCCCCCGAAACCUCGAACUUUCACCGUCCCUAAGUCUAAACUCCAUUCAGUCCCUCCCGAAAUCUUUGCAUUCGCCCCACCCAUCUACCAAUUUAACCUCAAUCCUUCCUCUCACCCCAAAAUUUGUCAACUGUGCCUCACUUGCUUUUCUCUGUGUACUUGUAAAUUAAAAUCGUGCCUACCAUGUACUCACCUCUCUUGCCCCUGCCAGGAUGUUCCUGAAAACUACACCGUUGCCGAUUUGAUUGAGUGAUGAUGGAGAGUUGAGGGAUGGUUGAUUGAGUGAGUUGAGGAUUGAUUGAGUGAAUUGAGGUGAGAAAGGUAGGAGACGGGUGUCGACGUGCCGGGGAGCGUCAUUCGACCCGGGGGACACAUGUUUGAAGAAGUAUGACCAUCGUCUUUCUGGGCAAAGAGGUUGAUGCUCGGGACAACAAGCUGGGAACGUGAUGUGUUCUGCGGCAACUUGCUGGAGCGUGUUGAUUUGCGCGGCGGAGAGAGAUGAAAACGAUGUAAUGAUGCUGGAAGCAUUCAAUGCUCAUGCUAAGAUGAUCAAAUAUGACUGUUCCAGUGAGAGAUGUGAGUAUUUGAGUACAGAUGAUUUUUGAGCGUGUUCUUGAGGUGAAUUUAUAUGCUUGAAUCAACUGAAUCAGAAGGUUGUGCGUAUUCAUUCACGUCGGGAGUCACCAAUAUGGCCAAAGACCAGAAGAGGUGCUCUAAUGUGGUGGCCCUAAACAGGGCCGUUGGAAAGGGGCAAGCCGGCCGGCUGCAAGAUGUUCCGCGUGCUGAGGUGAUGAGUGAUCCGUGUGGUUGACGGAAGCGGAUUGACUUGAGGCGGUGAGGUCACGACAUAUACAGCCGUGGUUGAGACUGCGUCGGCCAAUCAGGAGCGAGCAUGGGCUGCGUCGCCAGAGGUGAGCGGUGAUUGGCCGCCACGAGUAGAUCAUGUCAAAAGCCUCGGAAGCCCUAAGCCCAAGUACUAAUUUGUUCCAAUUGUGAUGCGCAAAUCGGAGAGAGUAAACAUUUUAUGAGGCAUGCAAUGAAAUGUAAAGGCAAGGAUGAAGCGAAAUAUACAAAGUGCCAGGAGCCCUCAUGUCCUAUCUUAUUAUAUAAAACCUCUGAGCUCGUGAAACACCUAAAUGAGGAACAUAUGUAGAACAUUAAUAUUGAACACCAUAAAUUUAAUUAUGUCGAUGAAUUCAACUCCUUCAAGAAUGAGCAGAACGUAAAGUAUUUCAUUUGACGACCGUUGGGGCUCUCUCAAUAUCAAAGGUAUCUCUUACUCGUAUUAUUUCUGCAAUCACAAUGUCAAAGACGAAACAAAACGAAUUCGGGCACUUUUGUGUCGUGCUAGAAUGAUGGUCAAGACAGACACCAGGAUGAUAAAUGAGAUGUAAGAUACAUUAAAGAUCACAGCCCUGAAAUUAAAGCUGCUAACCUUCAGUACAAUCGUUGUUCAAAAGAUAUGUUGGAUUAUGUAAAAGCUCUGUUAAUUAAAGGUGUUAGUCCGCGCAAGAUUGAAUUGGAGGUAACGAUAUUGUGCUUAAAAGGGGAAUAUCCCGUGAAAGACAGCCUUUGUGCCCCGUUGCCAAUAAAGUUCGUUGCAUCCGAGCCUGUGGCGUUUUCUGACCAUAAGCAUGCAGUUUCAUUUAUUACCACUUCGAUUCUAAGAAACAUUGCUAAAGCCCAUUGGUAUGAGAGAAACGCCGAUAUAAGAGCCGACCUCAACAUCGAAUCUGUAGAAGAUUACAUUACAAAAAUGUACACUCCUUAUGAAAAUCGCCUACACAACCACCCAAACCCAGAAGCACUUGCUUUGCUGGUAAAGGAUGAAAGCGUAAGAAGGUUAAAACGCAGAAAAACCUACGAGCUUGGAAUCCAAGGUUUUUCAAAAUUCUUUCCAUAAUUAGUUUUUUGUGCCUCCUUAUGCUCUAUGGACAUGUCAGGAGAAAUUAGGUCUUGGGACGGUCAGCCCGUCGUAAUUCAGAUGAAGAGACAUUUUCAUUUUGUAAUAACUUAGUUAUGUUUCAUUUUACACACUCAUGUUAUUGUUAAGGUAGUGUGUAAGUUAAAAAUCAGUAAUACUUAGUACAUUUAGUUUGCUAAGAGUUAAAAUAAGCUUUUAAAAGACUUCCUAAAGUCUAAAAGCAUUCCUGUACAAUGUUUUCUGUAUCUUUGGGCGAAAAAAAUUUAAAAAAAAAAAACCCCACUUCGAUUAUUCGUGAUCCUCGUCCAUUAGGGAACAGACAAGCUAGCGACAACCCACAACCUACACGAGACCCUAUGGUCAGCCUUUCAUUUUACCCCUCGGUCCACAGCUCUAUGUGUCUAUUCUCUAUUAUUUCCAAUAAUCGGCCCGCAGAAUGCUACGCGACAGGCGUUCACGCAAACCUCAAUUGCGGGAGUAUGAAACGCGCAUCUCAUU
rnacentral:lncRNA from 1 species